GGCAGCCAUCUAACGUACGUAACUUAAGUGCAGAGAAGACCUUGGUCCGUGUAGUUGCAAGUGAGAAAUACUGUGUGCUGUGCACAUUUUCUCUUUGAUUUUAGGUUGCACUGCAGUGCCCUUCGCUAUGCAGAUUUGAAAGAGUGUAGGGUACACAUACAAGAAGCAGGCCAAUAUGGUAAGGUAGAGAGGGUUUAGAAGAAAAGGACACGUGCUAGGCGUGUUUUGGCAGUAGUAGAACUAGCCGCGGAGUGUUCUGUGAGAGCGGUAGACGACACUUCACUGCAGUUACUGAGGAAUCGCUGCGUGAUACAAAACGCGAAGAAGGAAGCAGCACAGCAACAGAGUGCUCUGCACAGCACACCGGUUUUCAGUGUCUUCUAGUACGAAGGAUGAUCAUCGUGAGCUAGCUUUGUUACAACAUAGUUAUUCCAUAUGCAGCCUUCUAACGUACAUAACUUCAGUGCAGGGAACACAUUGGUAUGUGCAGUGGCAAGUGAGAACUAGUGUGUGCUGUGCACGCUUUUACUUUCACUUUAGUUUACACUGCAGUGCUCUUCGCUAUGCAGAGUUGAAAGAGUGCAUGGUACUCAUACAAGAAGCAGGGCAAUAUGGUAAGGUAGAGAGGGUUUAGAAGAAAAGUGCACGUGCUAGGCGUGUUUUGGCAGUAGUAGAACUAGCCGCGGAGUGUUCUGUGAGAGCGGUAGACGACACUUCACCGCAGUUACUGAGAAAACGCCGAAUGAUACUAAACUCGAACAAGGAAAGCACAGUGCACCAGAGUGCUUUGUGCAGCAUACCGGUUUUCAGUGUUGAGUGCUAAGAAGGAUGACCAUCGUCACCUAGCUUUGUUACAACAUACCUAUUCCAUAUGCAGUCUUCUAACGUACAUAACUUAAGUGCAGAGAAGACAUUGGUAUGUGCAGUGGCAAGUGAGAACUAAUGUGUGCUGUGCACGUUUUCACUUUUAAAUUAGGUUACACGGCAGUGCUAUUCACUAUGCAGAGUUGAA
rnacentral:lncRNA from 1 species